rnacentral:rRNA from 1 species
AUUGAACGCUGGCGGCAUGCCUUACACAUGCAAGUCGAACGGCAGCACGGACUUCGGUCUGGUGGCGAGUGGCGAACGGGUGAGUAAUGUAUCGGAACGUACCUUUCAGUGGGGGAUAACGUAGCGAAAGUUACGCUAAUACCGCAUAUUCUGUGAGCAGGAAAGCAGGGGAUCGCAAGACCUUGCGCUGAUUGAGCGGCCGAUAUCAGAUUAGCUAGUUGGUGGGGUAAAGGCCUACCAAGGCUACGAUCUGUAGCGGGUCUGAGAGGAUGAUCCGCCACACUGGAACUGAGACACGGUCCAGACUCCUACGGGAGGCAGCAGUGGGGAAUUUGGACAAGUGGGGGCAACCCUGAUCCAGCCAUGCCGCGUGAGUGAAGAAGGCCUUCGGUUGUAAGCUCUUCGGCCGGGAAGAAUCGCAUAGGCUAAUACCCUCGUGUGGAUGACGGUACCGGAAUAAGAAGACACCGGCUAACUACGU